rnacentral:rRNA from 1 species
CCUACGGGAGGCAGCAGUGAGGAAUAUUGGUCAAUGGACGAGAGUCUGAACCAGCCAAGUAGCGUGAAGGAUGACUGCCCUAUGGGUUGUAAACUUCUUUUAUAUGGGAAUAAAAUGUUCCACGUGUGGGAUUUUGUAUGUACCAUAUGAAUAAGGAUCGGCUAACUCCGUGCCAGCAGCCGCGGUAAUACGGAGGAUCCGAGCGUUAUCCGGAUUUAUUGGGUUUAAAGGGAGCGUAGGUGGAUUGUUAAGUCAGUUGUGAAAGUUUGCGGCUCAACCGUAAAAUUGCAGUUGAAACUGGCAGUCUUGAGUACAGUAGAGGUGAGCGGAAUUCGUGGUGUAGCGGUGAAAUGCUUAGAUAUCACGAAGAAAUCCGAUUGCGAAGGCAGCUCACUGGACUGCAACUGACACUGAGGCUCGAAAGUGUGGGGAUCAAACAGGAUUAGAUACCCCAGUAGUC